rnacentral:rRNA from 1 species
AUUGAACGCUAGCGGGAUGCUUUACACAUGCCAGUCGAACGAGUGGCGGACGGGUGAGUAAUAUAUCGGACCGUGCCCAGUAGCUGGGGAUAACUACUCGAAAGAGUGGCUCAUACCGCAUCCUCUUUGCGCUGCCGAUAUCGGAUUAGCAAGUUGGUGGGGUAAAGGCUCACCAAGGAAACGAUCCGUAGCUGGUUUGAGAGGACGACCAGCCACACUGGGACUGAGACACGGCCCAGACUCCUACGGGAGGCAGCAGUGGGGAAUUUUGGACAAUGGGGGAAACCCUGAUCCAGCCAUCCCGCGUGUAUGAGAAGGCCUUCGGGUUGUAAAGUACUUUUGGCAGAGAAGCGGUAUCUGCAGAAUAAGCACCGGCUAACUACGUGCCAGCAGCCGCGGUAAUAC